rnacentral:rRNA from 1 species
GUACGGAGGGUGCAAGCGUUAUUCGGAAUCACUGGGCGUAAAGGGUGCGUAGGCGGUUUGAUAAGUCUGAUGUGAAAUCCUAUGGCUCAACCAUAGAACUGCAUUGGAAACUGUCAGACUAGAAUACUGAAGGGGCAGAUGGAAUUAGUGGUGUAGGGGUAAAAUCCGUAGAUAUCACUAGGAAUACCGAAAGCGAAAGCGAUCUGCUGGGAAGUUAUUGACGCUGAGGCACGAAAGCGUGGGGAGCAAACGGGAUUAGAAACCCCAGUAGUCC